rnacentral:rRNA from 1 species
GAGUUUGAUCUUGGCUCAGGACGAACGCUGGCGGCGUGCUUAACACAUGCAAGUCGAACGGGAUCCAUCCGAGUGGCAACACUGGUGAAGAUCUAGUGGCGAACGGGUGAGUAACACGUGAGGAACCUGCCCUGAAGAUCGGGAUAAGCCGGGGAAACCUGGUCUAAUACCGAAUGUCUCCGUCUGGUCGCAUGGCCGGACGAAGAAAUGGAUUCCGCUUCAGGAGGGUCUCGCGGCCUAUCAGCUUGUUGGUGGGGUAACGGCCUACCAAGGCUCCGACGGGUAGCUGGUCUGAGAGGACGAUCAGCCACACUGGGACUGAGACACGGCCCAGACUCCUACGGGAGGCAGCAGUGGGGAAUCUUGCGCAAUGGGCGAAAGCCUGACGCAGCAACGCCGCGUGGGGGAUGAAGGCCUCGGUUGUAACCCG